GGGCCCGCACAAGCGGUGGAGUAUGUGGUUUAAUUCGAUGCAACGCGAAGAACCUUACCAGGGUUUGACAUCCUGCGAAUCUCUUGGAAACGAGAGAGUGCCUUCGGGAACGCAGUGACAGGUGGUGCAUGGCUGUCGUCAGCUCGUGUCGUGAGAUGUUGGGUUAAGUCCCGCAACGAGCGCAACCCACGUCUUUAGUUGCCAGCAUUUAGUUGGGCACUCUGAAAGAACUGCCAGUGAUAAGCUGGAGGAAGGUGGGGAUGACGUCAAGUCCUCAUGGCCCUUACGUGUUGGGCUACACACGUGCUACAAUGCUACGGACAAAGGGCAGCAAACUCGCGAGAGCUAGCAAAUCCCAUAAACCGUGGCUCAGUUCAGAUCGUAGGCUGCAACUCGCCUACGUGAAGGAGGAAUCGCUAGUAAUCG
rnacentral:rRNA from 1 species